rnacentral:rRNA from 1 species
UCCAGACUCCUACGGGAGGCAGCAGUGGGGGAUAUUGCACAAUGGGGGAAACCCUGAUGCAGCGACGCCGCGUGAGUGAAGAAGUAUUUCGGUAUGUAAAGCUCUAUCAGCAGGGAAGAAAAAAGACGGUACCUGACUAAGAAGCCCCGGCUAACUACGUGCCAGCAGCCACGGUAAUACGUAGGGGGCAAGCGUUAUCCGGAUUUACUGGGUGUAAAGGGAGCGUAGACGGCAAUACAAGUCGGAAGUGAAAUACCCGGGCUCAACCUGGGAACUGCUUUGGAAACUGUAUGGCUGGAGUGCUGGAGAGGUAAGCGGAAUUCCUAGUGUAGCGGUGAAAUGCGUAGAUAUUAGGAGGAACACCAGUGGCGAAGGCGGCUUACUGGACAGUAACUGACGUUGAGGCUCGAAAGCGUGGGGAGCAAACAGGAUUAGAUACCCGUGUA